UAUUUUACAAGCACAUUUUCCCCUCAUUACCACAAUGUGAUAGAAAUCUCUUUCUCACAUUGUCUGUGUUUCCAGACACAAUGAUAUUUCUUAAAAUGAUUAAAAUCAGCAAAGAAAGGUAAUUCAACAAAUACUAACAUGAUCUAUGCUCACAAUUAUAGAUCACAAAAAUGUGACGUGAAGUGUGAUGUUUUCAGCCUCUUUCUCAACUUCCUGACAUUUGACUGAUGUUAAUCUUUAUUACAUAAUUGCAUCUUAAGAGGUUCAGUGUUGUCUAUUACACGUUUAUCUGCAGAAAUCAAAAGCAGAACCAAAAACCGUGAGCCUGGCUCAGUUGGAAGGCGAGUUACAGGAUGGGAGUUUCACAAGUUCUUCUGUUGCUGAGGCUGGCUCAUAUAGAACAACGGAACAUGUGAUUGCUACGACCUGGAGGGACGGGCCCUACCUGCUGGUAGUGCAGAUCAAUUCAAGCAAACAGGAUGCCAACUGGAAUUUAACCUUCAGUGUUGUGAUGAAGGGAACCCACGGCUAUCUCUCUGUCACCGAAUGGCCUCUCAUGAUCUUCUACAUGGUCAUGUGUGUGGUGUACAUCCUGUACGCUCUGCUGUGGUUCGUCUGGGCGUCCUGCUACUGGAAAGACCUGCUGAGGAUCCAGUUCUGGAUUGCAGGAGUCAUAUUCUUGGGCAUGAUAGAGAAGGCCGUCUUCUGUGCUGAAUAUCAGAACACUAACAACAUGGGCUCAGCA